GUGUAUGUAGUCUCUGUACGUUCCCUCCUGUGCCAGUUUGUUACGUCAUAUUUUCUGGUGCUCUCCUCUUGUGGAUUCAUCCUAACACCCGCGGUGUAUACUUUCCUCUUCCUUUUGCAUAUUUUUAACCAGUUUUUUUGUGUGGGGUUUAGGUUUCCCUUGACUCCUUAUCAAAUCAAAGAAGUGGUGUUUCGAUCCAAGGAAAUAAGCAAGCUGCAGUCAAGAGGCUGAUGAGAGAAUGGAAAACGGGGGCCUCAGCUCAGCCUCAGGACUACAACCUCUAGGCCUUGCUGGACAGUCAUGUAGAAGCACAAAGACAGGUGAACAAUGCCACUGUGGAAUUUAGCAGGUAUUUGAGAGAGCCACCCUGGGCAGGGCCUGAGGACCCUCUGUAGUACUGAAUGACAAGAAACACUCUUUAUCACCACCUGUUUAAGUUGGCUUCAAGACGUCUCUGCCACUCUCAUCAUUGGUGCCAUGUGUAGUCAUUUUUUUUUACAAGGCUGGCUAAAUUUUGAGCCAGAAAAGAAGCUGACUUAAACCCAGCUCCAAGGAAAAUUAUAUUUCCAAAAACAAAUCUGUAAAAUAAAUCAAAAGUUUUAGAAAACA